rnacentral:lncRNA from 1 species
UUCUUCAUAUCGGUUUAGUAUACGCCAUCAAUUUCAUCCCUAAUCUUACCAAGAAUCGGUAAGUUCAAUUCAAUUCAAACAGUUAGUCCCAAAUUCUCAUAGUAAUUAUAUCCAAUGUUAAUUUUUCAUCUAAACUAACGAAUCUUGUCGACUUCCCAAUAAUCUUGAUAAAUCUUGAAAACAAUCUCUAGAAAACAAUCCCUUCACACGGCCAUGUUCACCCUGAAACCCUAGAAAUACGUUUCUCACACGGCUUAAGAACAUCCACACGGCCUGCCACAUGGUCAUGUCUCCCUUGCACCUUGAUUUUCAAUUUCCACACGGCCUAGUCACACAGUCGUGUAACCCAUCCACACAGUCCAGGGCUCUCCACAUGGUCCAGUCACACGGCCAUGUGACCCCUGUUUCUCAAAUUUUACAGUUUUGCCCAAAAUUUUAUGAUUUGUGUAGAUUAGUCCUUGAAUGAGUCCCGAACUAUUUUUAGUGUUUUAUUUUAUUCAAUUGAGUCUUUGAGGAUAUGAAUUAUGGUAAAAAGCCAUGAAUUAAUGUUAUGUUUAUAUGAUUGCAUGAAUUGUGAUUAAGCAUGCCUAUUGUAUCUAUUUUUGUGGAUUGUUCAUACAACAUGACACCGUUAAAUUGAAUCCUUGAAAAGCACUUGUUUUGGCUACUGUAUCGAUUAGUUGAGAAUAUAUUUAUAGAUGCCAUUCUCGCUCUGUUAUAAGCAUGAUAUCCGUAUCUGUUUUGUUUUGUUAUAAAGCAUGUGAUAAUUUAAUGCAUGGUAUAAGACAUUUUGUAAGGAGGAAGUUCUG